rnacentral:rRNA from 1 species
UACGUAGGGCGCAAGCGUUGUCCGGAAUUAUUGGGCGUAAAGAGCUCGUAGGCGGUCUGUCGCGUCUGUUGUGAAAACUCGAGGCUCAACCUCGGGCUUGCAGUGGAUACGGGCAGACUAGAGUGCGGUAGGGGAGACUGGAAUUCCUGGUGUAGCGGUGGAAUGCGCAGAUAUCAGGAGGAACACCGAUGGCGAAGGCAGGUCUCUGGGCCGCAACUGACGCUGAGGAGCGAAAGCGUGGGGAGCAAACGGG